AUUGAACGCUGGCGGCAGGCCUAACACAUGCAAGUCGAGCGGAUGAAGGGAGCUUGCUCCUGGAUUCAGCGGCGGACGGGUGAGUAAUGCCUAGGAAUCAGCCUGGUAGUGGGGGAUAACGUCCGGAAACGGGCGCUAAUACCGCAUACGUCCUGAGGGAGAAAGUGGGGGAUCUUCGGACCUCACGCUAUCAGAUGAGCCUAGGUCGGAUUAGCUAGUUGGUGGGGUAAAGGCCUACCAAGGCGACGAUCCGUAACUGGUCUGAGAGGAUGAUCAGUCACACUGGAACUGGGACACGGUCCAGACUCCUACGGGAGGCAGCAGUGGGGAAUAUUGGACAAUGGGCGAAAGCCUGAUCCAGCCAUGCCGCGUGUGUGAAGAAGGUCUUCGGAUUGUAAAGCACUUUAAGUUGGGAGGAAGGGCAGUAAGUUAAUACCUUGCUGUUUUGACGUUACCAACAGAAUAAGCACCGGCUAACUUCGUG
rnacentral:rRNA from 1 species